AUUGAACGCUGGCGGCGUGCUUAACACAUGCAAGUCGAACGAGAACGGAUUAUAGCUUGCUAUAAUUGUCAGCUAAGUGGCGCACGGGUGAGUAAUGUAUAGAUAACCUGCCCUCUAGAAAGGAAUAACAGUUGGAAACGACUGAUAAUGCCCUAUAUGCCUUUAAUACAUAAGUAUGCAAGGGAAACGCUUUAGUGCUAGAGGAUGGGUCUGUAUGGUAUCAGUUAGUUGGUGAGGUAAUGGCUCACCAAGACAAUGACGCCUAACUGGUUUGAGAGGAUGGUCAGUCAGACUGGAACUGAGACACGGUCCAGCCUCCUACGGGAGGCAGCAGUGGGGAAUAUUGCACAGUGGACGAAAGUCUGAUGCAGCAACGCCGCGUGGAGGAUGACACAUUUCGGUGCGUAAACUCCUUUUAUAUAGGAAGAUAAUGACGGUACUAUAUGAAUAAGCACCGGCUAACUCCGUGCCAGCCGCCGCAGUAA
rnacentral:rRNA from 1 species